AUCCAGCUGACGAGUCCCAAAUGAGAUGAAACGCGGGUCAAAGUGGAU
rnacentral:hammerhead_ribozyme from 1 species